rnacentral:lncRNA from 1 species
UUCUAUAACAAACAUUUACAAGUAUAAACAUCUAAUUAAAAAUUAUUUUCUCACUGUAGAUGAUUAACCAUGUCGAGUUCAAACCCUCUAGUUUGAAUUCUUGACACCAAUAGGUGGACCGAAUUAAGCUAUAAAGGCUGGCUCCAGAAUUUGAGAAUUGUUCUCAGCUUUAAGAAAUUGAUCCAUGUUCUAGACCAAGAGAUGCUUGUGUUGUUGGCUCAUCCAUCCCCUAAUCAAUGAGCUGCACUUGAUAAGUGGAU